rnacentral:lncRNA from 1 species
ACAUCAACCUCUUGAAACAGUUAUUCUUUUGGGACCCGUAGCAUAUGUGUAGACAUGUGCACACAAAGAUAGAAGAUAUGCAAGUUCAUCAUGGAAGAAAGAAGGCAGACCAGCUCCAUGAACCAAGGUGCAGCUCCCAGCUCACUAUACUUGAGGCCACUGCAGUGCCACUUCACAUGGUGCAGGAGUAAACAUUGACCUUGCAGGUCUGAAAACAUCUGCCUUUAGUUAUUUCUCAUUUUGGAGAAAGAAGAUUUUGAAACUGAAGAUUUAAGUAAUUUGCCAGAGUCAGAAUGCUGUAAGCAUCAGAACUCGAUUUUCGAACUUAAGUUUAUCUGACUCAAAAGCUUUUGCCUUUCACCACCACCCUAUUGCUUCUAAAAUGUCAAACAUCGGCUGAACCACAGGACAGGUAUCCUAUAAAUCUUUGAGAGAACAGCCUACCCCUUCAUCCUGUGGGAUGCUUCCUGCCUGGCGCAUCAUGAGCCUUCCAUAAUGAAUUUCUCCUUGGUACACUCAAGACUUGGGCUAUACUCAUCAGUUAUUAUCAAUAUUGUGAAAUAGAAGGCUUUUCCAAAGAGACGCUGAAUCAUGAAGAUAAAUAUUCAUUAUAAUUUAUUUUGCAGAAAGUUUACAAAAGCUAUGGAGGAGGAUGUGGAUGCACCCCCAUGUGUACGUAAGGACACACGAGCUAAAGGCUUUACCUGACCCAGUAAAAGUGUCAAGCGCUCCAUCUCCAGUCGUGGCUGUGGUUUCACUGCUGUUCAAGGGCUCUGUUUUGACUGCAAGAAGAGACACUACGUAGAAGAAUAAGUACAUGGUAGAACAAAAUGGAAAAGUAGAAAUAAAACAUUUAUUCUGUCACAGAAAAUAAGCUGCAUUCAUACUAAGUGAGCAUCAACAAGCACCUCUUGAUCUCUAAGUAAGUCCCAAAGUUAUUUUGGUUUGAUUUUUCUAAAUAAAAAGCAGUAAUAUUAGGUAAUAAUAAACAACUAUUUUUUCAGCAGUAGAAAGCUCAAAUAGAGAAGUGAAUAGACACUCCUUAUAUUAUUAGCUGAUUUAUUAAGACAUGUUAGAAUACGAAGAAGUAUUAUCUUGAUAUUUAUAUAACAGUUAACUAGUAUAAAGUAAACAUUAUAUAAUAAUUAUAGAUAAAGCUUGGAAAACAACGUUAUUUUCACUGAAGCUAGAAAUAUAUUUGAAAUGUAUUCUUUUUUCUUUUAUCUUGCUUUUGUUUCUGCACUUUAAAUUACACCUACUAUAUACUUUUCUAGUGGCAGGAAACUUUCAUUAAAUAUAUGCAAGACACUAUUGGAAAAAUGUUCAUUAGUAAGACAAAUCUAGUCUUAUUACUACUAACUUGUAAAAAUCCUUAUUCCAAAUAAUUAUCAGUGCCUAUUCCUUGACUGUUCAAAUGUAUGUUAAGCUAUAUUUUG